UCUUCAAAAUGUUGUGUCAAAAUAAAUCGUAGAUAAACUCUUUCAAAUACAGUCUUUUUGGAUCUAACUAGUUAGCUAGCUGAAGUGUGUGAUAUGGGUGUGUCUUAAACUUUAUUUGGAUCGAUAGAAUAUGGUGGAAUAGAGUGAUAACUAAUGAAGGUUUUUUAUUUAUAUAUUUAAAAAAUGAGUGGAAGGGAGUGGGAUAUGAUGGAAUCUAUACCAUCUCAUUUCAUCGUCUUUCUUCAUUUCCUUUCCCUUCAAUUUUGGAUGGAUCUACAUGCACCUUCACAGAAUCUAUAUUACGCAACUGUGGUUUGCGCACCGGGCUUUUCACUUCUCCUCAUCUAAUUGAUAUACGAGAAAGAUUUCGUUUAGAUGGUGUGGAAAUCUGUGAAGAGAAAUUUUUAGCAUAUUUCUGGUGGUGUUAUGAUAGACUAAAGGAAAAAACUGAUGACAAUGCUCCAAUGCCUACCUUUUUUCACUUCCUUGCCUUCAAGAUAUUUGCAGACGAGCAGGAUAAGAAGCUCCCAAGGUAAUGCCACAUAAAACUUCAGGGGUACCGAGACAGUUUGUUUGGACACUGCCUUCAAAAGCUCUUUCUCACUAUGACUAGGAACAUCUUUGUAGCACAACAACUCCCUGCUGGCCCAAUCAAACAUCACCAAAAAGGAAAUGUGAUUCAAAUAAUGAGUUAUAAAGAAAUAUAUAUUUUAAUAUUAAAUAAUUUAGAGAUU